rnacentral:rRNA from 1 species
UACGGAGGGUGCUAGCGUUGUUCGGAAUCACUGGGCGUAAAGGGCGUGUAGGCGGUCUGUUAAGUCUGAUGUGAAAUCCCCUCGCUCAACGAGGGAACUGCGUCGGAUACUGGCAGACUCGAGUACCGGAGAGGAAGGUGGAAUUCCCGGUGUAGCGGUGAAAUGCGUAGAUAUCGGAGGAGAACCGAGCCGGUAGGCGGCAGGC